rnacentral:rRNA from 1 species
ACACGUCUACAUUAGAUACCCGGGUAGUCCCAGCCGUAAACUAUGCUCGCUAGGUGUCAGGCAUGGCGCGACCGUGUCUGGUGCCGCAGGGAAGCCGUGAAGCGAGCCACCUGGGAGGUACGGCCGCAAGGCUGAAACUUAAAGGAAUUGGCGGGGGAGCACAACAACGGGUGGAGCCUGCGGUUUAAUUGGACUCAACGCCGGACAACUCACCGGGAACGACAGCAAUAUGUAGGCCAGGCUGAAGACCUUGCCUGAAUCGCUG